rnacentral:misc_RNA from 1 species
CACCGCGUCGCACCUUUCGCCAACCUCCCUAGGGAGCUGGGUCGAAAAGGGCGGAUGUUGGCCUCCCGUGCGCAUGCCUCGCGCGGUUGGCCUAAAUAUGGAGACCAUGGCGAUAAGGGCCACGGCGUCAGGUGGUUGAACUAAUGCAUCGCGCCGUGCCCCUUGCAAACAUCGACCGUGGUGCUCGCAGGGCCUUUUAACUAAACCGAU